GGAUGGGUGGCCGAGUGGUUGAAGGCAGCGGUCUUGAAAACCGCCGGGCGGGCAACCGUCUCGUGGGUUCGAAUCCCACCCCAUCCGCCA
rnacentral:tRNA from 1 species